GGGGCCGCAACGGUUUCGACGUGUUAGUAGAAACUACCUCAUGCAGGUCGAGAGUGAGCCAUCUCUCGUAAAUCAAGGACUCAAACAAGUACAUGCGAACAACAUCGUACCCUUCGCUCGUAAAGCCGCUCCUGUAGCUGCCUAAGAACCACCCCUCAAAAGGUCUGUUUCGAGCUCUAACUUGUGACUCAGUUAAACAAAUUUAGAUAACCCCCAACUGAUGCUGUUAACGCCCUUCUCUGAUAGAGUGUUAACCUAAGAAACUUUCAGAGCAUCCUAGUAUCUGGGAAAAUAGAUAUUUCCCUCCGUGCGGAUUAAAACGGAUAAACCUGUGACUGAAUGGGGCGUUAUGAGCUAGGACGGACGAGGAUUCGACUUCCUCCGGCUCCACUU
rnacentral:tmRNA from 1 species